UGAGACUCCAUCUCCAAAAAAAAAAAAAAAAAAAAAAAAGCAAUCAGUUUACAACUUCUACCCCCCAGGUAUAUAAUACUUUUGUCAUUUCUUUGCAGGAAAUUUUCAAGAACGUUUGGCAUCUCCUAAACUUGCAUCUAAUUUGUCCAUGUUUUUGAACCUACUGUUCAUAUGUAAAGCCAGAGUGCCAGAAGAGGGUAGCUACAGUUCUGUUAAAAUAUGUAUACAUCGAGAUUUGCAAAUAUCAUGCAUAGUGUGAAAGAUGCUUAUUUUCCUAAAGGAAAUGGGCAUUCUCUUUUCCUCAGUUCUUGUUUUUUUGUGUGUUGAAUGAAUCCCCACUAAAGUCAGGACAGUAAGGGGCAUUAUUAACUAAUCUUCCCAGUAUUGGAUAUAUUAGAAUGAAUAACAACGGAUGAAUAUAAUACUGCUAUAUCCAAAUUGCUACAAAAUUCAGAAACCAUUUUUUUCUCAUAAAUCCAAAAAUGUCAACCUUCUACUGACACAAUAUUUUCAGCAAUUUUAUAACUUCUACUCAAUGAAGGGUAUUGAAAUAAAACAUCAAAUCUGCUUGUACUAUAAAAAUGCUAACUUUUAUGUAAGAAAAGUAGAAAGAUCAGUAAGUGUGGUGUUACAAGUUCAGAAAGCAGUUGAUAUACGAAGGUUAAGUCUUGCUGGUAUCAUAAACCAAGUUUCACCUUUGACUGGUUUGACCUGAUUAUUUCUAUUUUAACCCUGUUUUGAUCUUCAAUUUCAAGGCAGCAAGUCAAGCCACAUAGAUCAAUUCUUUCCAAACUUUUGAUUUUUAUUUCAUUUUUACAUGUGUGUAGAUUUUUGAAUAUCAAUGUAUGCGCUUUACUCCCUAGCUGACAGUAUGAGAUAUUUUAAGAAUCCCAGGAAUUUUUAGUAAUAGUUGAGGUUUCAUUAAGCUUAGUUCUCAAGUGACUUCUUAAAGUUUAUUCAUCAAAUAAUUCAGGGUGUAAAAGUAGCACAUAAACAUUAAUUGAACAGUCAUUAAGCAGUAUAACUGUUUGUUUUCAGUUGAUAGAGGACAUUAAGCUCCAUACCCUGUGGUGGAAAACAAUUACGUCUUAUGAUACACAUGCCAUUAGGGAUACUGCUACCAGACUCGACCAGUUUCACUUUACAAAAUAGCAGUGAGCUGCAGUCAGAAGUUUGCUCAAGUCAUAGGAAGUCAUAUGUUUACUGCCAUGUCCUAGCUACUUAUAAAUAUUGUUACAUGCUUCAUGCCUUAUGCUAAUGGCAAUGACUAAUGUUUGUCAAUAUCUUCACUCAAUCUUAUUUUAAAAACCUCCUCAGGACAGACUGAUCCUAGCUAGAAUGCUACUUAAAGUGAGAAUGUUUUUCUAAAACAAAUAAUAUAAAAAUCACUUAAAUAGAAAAGGUUAGAUGAUAAUUUAUUUUGAGUAUGCCAGACAGCUGCUAUUGUUAUUAAAUUUGCCAUGAGACUGACUGACCGAUAUCCUAUAUGAGAAUGCCUUAUAGAUGCCUGUAUGUGUGAUUGCACAAUGCUUUAAAGUUGUUCUACUCAUCUAGGACUGUAGGUGAAGAUGUAUGACACAAAAACAAAAAGGUGGAAAACACCCAAGACUGGCUGUUUGGAGGUUUACUGUUUUUAACAACGGAGGUGAGUCCCUUCAUCCAUUUGUGAUUUCAUUUAUGAACACUACUUAUAAGACAGGUACAGAACACUUCAUUAUGGGCCCAAACAAGUAUGUUUAAAUGGAUAAAGUAGCUCUUUGCAUCAGAUGGAAGCUAAGUUUGACAUUAAAUUAAUGUCAAAAAAGUGAGAAACUCUUUUAGUUUUAAUCUACAUGUAGCAGCAUAGUGGUAAUGUGUUGAUUUUCAUGUGCACAUAAUUUCUAGUCUUAUAUGACCAGGAUGUGAGGUUAUAAAUUCCUGUAUUACAAAGUAAAAACAAAAGAAUGCAAGAAUCCACUAAUAAGGAAAUAUAUUUUGUUGAGAAAAUGUGAUGAAUGUUCACACUGUUUUUCAGAAUGAGGAAGGUGGGGAACAAAAAGUUUCUGUGGAGAAGAAAUGUCAUCCGCCAUACAUGAUGGCUCUUUAUCGAGCCUUUGUUGAAAGUAUUACUGUAGGUAUCCUGCCAAAUAAAUCACCUUUUUUAUUAUAGGAAAAGUUCAAUUUCACUGAAGAGGGCUAAGAUAUAGGGACUUCCAAUACAUCUUUGUAGAAUGAAAUGGAAUGGAACAGUGUAGAGUAGAACAGAACCCAAUAGAAUAGGACUACAAUUAUUUGUUCCUUCCUUUAAUUCUAAUUUGUUCUGAAACAAAAAGAGAAAUAAAUGUAUGGCUGGAUAAUGAGAGGGAUAGAUGAUUCUGAAGAUAAGUUUCUGUUUUCUUCCUUAUAUAUUCUUGUAUUUUAAAGUAAUUAUUUAGGGAGAAUAAGUUACAGUUACAUGUUUGUUUAAAGAGAUAGGGAAUUGUGUAAGAUAUUUCAGAACUUAAGUCAUUUAUUUAAUGAAAAUACAUUUCCUAGGACUUGAUAUUCAGAAAGACACUCCAGAAGAGCUCAGAUCAGUUAUGGUUACUAUAGAAACAUCAUGCCUCCUUCUAUUUUGUCUCAGAGGAAUUUGGAAGAAAACAGAAAUCUUAUCUUUAUGACCAUCUUGAAUCUAAUCUUUCCAAACUCUUUCCAGAAUCCCACGUAAAUUCUCCUGUACAAUAUAACACUCUCUUUGGAAUUCACUGUCAGUUACAAACUACACUGUAGAUAAAGUGACCAUAUGUCCUGGUUUAUGCCUUUUGUUUUUGGGUCAUUAUCAUUAGCACUACCUUUCACUCUGAUAUGUGUCCCGGUAGAGAUGACAAAUUAUGGUAGCCUUAUCUAUAAAUAAUACCAUGUCAAUAAUAAUAACCAAUAACCUUACUGGAAGCUUGCUAUUUAUCAAAAGCUUUGAAUGUUUUUAUGUGUAAUAAAUUCUUCAUCAUAACUCAAUAAGACAAGUAUUUUAUUUCCCCCAUUUUACAGGAGAAGAAACAAAGAGUUAGAGAGGGUAAAUAGCAAGACCUACUCCCAUAGUGGGCCCAAUCUGAAUGUAGACGAAGGUCUGACUUUAUAGCAUUGUAUGCCAGAAGAUGGUUAUGCUAUCUUCUUUUUGGCUGGCUGAAAGAAUUAGCUUUGGUUUUUCUUUUUUAAUGUAUUCAAAGAUUAUCAGUAGUUCUCACUAUUCUUCCUAGAUGUUAUAACUAUAUUUUUAUAAUGACUGUGGAUUUUAAGAGGCAAGAAAAGAGCACCAAAGUCAACUAAAAUUAAUCUGGGUUUUAGUUUGCAUUAUUAAUUUUACUAUAUUAAUAAAAAUAACUGAUUUGUUGAGUGACUAGUUUAUGCCAGAUUGGGACUUACCCUGUGUUACAUCACUGACCCUUAACACAGCACUGCCAAGCAGAAUAUUUGAACCCCAUGAAUGUAUUUGAUUGCUUUAGCUAUUAGCCCUAAAUUGGUUCAUAGGUUACAAAUGAAGCUCAGGGCAUUAAAUCAUUUCAGCAAGCCCCUCCAGCUCUGACACUGUCAUCCCUAGCUGUCUCUAGGAAUAUUUGAUAUCAGGGUAUAAGACACGGAAUCUAGAUGCAAGGAAAAAUUCUUGGGGACAAAGGGACUUCCCCAGCACCUCAUGUUUAUAUUAACUGUUGUGCAUUGAGUGCUUAAUAAAGGCAUGCACUUUACAUAUUUUUGUAAACAUAUUUUCUUCUAUUUUUCUCCUUACCAUAGGCCGAAAAAGAAGAUAAUUUGGAUUUGAACCAAUAUUUUAAAAGUUAAUUUUUGCCAGGAUGUAAAAAGAUGGCUUUAUAGAAGAGAAAUGAUUUGAAUGGAAGGUCAGAUGUAGACAGAAGAAUUUCUUCAUCUCAACUCGCCUCACCACUACAGAUCCAAGCCUAACACAGAGCCUAACAGAAAUACUUUCCUCCAAAUACAACCCUGUUCACCAUGGAAGACACGAAAAGCUUCAGUGGUUGCUGCUGGGGGCCUUCACCACAAAACAGCCAUUCACCUUUGCUUUUGCUCUAUCUACAAAAUAUAUUCACUGGCACACUCCAGAAGUCAACUUUGAUUCAACUGUAGCCUUCAGUUACCAGACCUUAUCACACAUCUGUAAAACUGGGAAAUAAACAAGUGUUUAAAAUAUGUCCUUUUUUUGUAUUUCUUUCUACUAGUGUCAUUUCUUAUUAGCUUGAUAUAAACCUUAACUAAAGAGGCAAGAAUAAGAAAGUAAAAAUAAUUGAACUUUUCAGUCACCAUGUCAUUUUAUAGAGUAGUAUAUCAGCACAUAGUUUUGCUAUCCCUUUGAGUUCAUAGAAAUUAAUUAAAAAAUUUCCUGAUGGGCACUUUAAAAUGUAUAUUGACCCACAAAUCUGUAAAUGGUUGAAAGAAAUCAUCAUUAUUUGAGAGAAAUCAUUAACGCAGGUGUAGGAACACAGAACAACUGCAAGAUUAUAUUUCACAAAGCAAGAUCUGUAAAAAUGUAUUUACAUGGACAGUAAGUAAAAAUGUGGACUCAUAAAGAAAUUUGAAAUUUAUCAGAGAAAGCUUUGAGGAAAAGUAAAUUUUCGCUAUUCACUUCAUCUUUAUUUUCAAAUACAUUCAUCUCUAUUCACAGGUUAGAUGUUCUACACUUUAAAAUUCGGCUUUAUAACAUUAUAGUUUUCCAGUAUUAUUAUUGAUCAGUCAGCUUCAGAACAUAUAAACCUCUUUAAAACAAAUAUAGACCUAAUGCUGCAAAACCCAUUUGUCCAAAAAUCUUAGUUAAUUCCCUGCAGUCACUUCUAGGAUUUUAUCUUUCUUUAAAAAGUUGUGUUUUCUCAAACUAGGGAUAUUUCCGCACAAAGUAUAUCUCUUUCUAUUAAAUCAAUGCUGAAUUGUGUAUCUUUUUUGAUUAGUGAGACUGAAGUUUUAUUUUUCUUUUCUUUAACACAAAAUAAGAAAAUUAAAAAAUACUAAUAUUUAGUCUCUAUAUAUGGGCAUAUGGUACUGUAAAAAGAUAUGCCAAGUUAUGGAUGCAAAGCUGCCUGAAAAUGUUACAUUCCUUAAAUGAUGUUUGGGACAUUAUUCCUUGUCUGCUGAGAAAGAGAAGGGGCCACGUUAUUAUACUGAAAAGUGCAGCAUUGCCCAAAGAAGUAAGCCUUUAUUAUCUGGACAUUCAAGUGAGAAAAGUUUGGAUUUUUACUUACUGUCAAUUUUAUUUACUGUCAAGUCAGUGAAAAACCACACAUGCCCUAUUGAUGAACAGCAAAUAAAUAUCAGCAAAUGAAUUUUUCUGUCAUUGUGACUAUCAGCUGGACAGUAUGGAAAUGCUAUCUCUACAAUUUCAAGGACAUUUAAAUUAUUGGAUUAGAAUACAUUAAGAAUGAGUAGGUAAAAUAUUUUUCUUAUCUUCAUUGUUUUUGCAGAUCAGACUUGACUGAUUGUAUAGACAAAAUAAGAGAAGCUCUAUAGCAAAACUGAAAAACUUAUAUACCUAAUACAUAUGCCUCGAGAUCACAAAAAACUUCUAUUUUCCUGUUUUCCUAAGUCCAUGGUAUGGUUUUACAAAAGAGCCUGCAAUAUUAGAUAAUAACACAAAUUCCAUGUAGUAUAGACCAGUAGCCAACUGAUAACCAUGUACAACACAUACAGUAUGGAAGUAUGCUACAAUAAGUGCUACAAAAAUUCAGAAGUGAGAGCUAUCCCUAAGGAGUAGAGACAUCUAAAAAGACUCACAGCAUAGAUGGAACUUAGUACAAAGGGAAAGAGAGCCUUUUAGAUAUGCAGUUUGGUCAGUGGAAUGGGGAUGGAUCCAUAGUGUUUAAGAGUAAGCAAAGCUAUGAGUAACGUAAUUGGUUUGAAGCACAGGAUUCAUUUAUAGACGUAAGACAGGGUGAGGUUGAAAAGAUAUGUAGGAGACAAUUGCAGGGUCCUCUAUCGCCAUGAAGUUUGGACAGCAGGAAGACGUUUAUUCAGUACCUACAGGUGUGCCUGUUACUUGAGAGAUGCUGCAGUGGGUUCUAGUUAGACACCUCUGAAAAAGAUAUUUGAGUUUGAAGAGAGCGUAAGGAAGAUGAACUUCACUGGGAAAUACAGGAUAGGUUACAAUGAAGAUAGGCCAGUUUAAGUAGUAUUGAAACAGCCCACGC